CCCUUAGAUGUUCUGGGCCGCACGCGCGCUACACUGAUGCAUUCAACGAGCCUAUCCUUGACCGACAGGUCCGGGUAAUCUUUGAAUCUGCAUCGUGACGGGGAUAGAUUAUUGCAAUUAUUAAUCUUCAACGAGGAAUGCCUAGUAGGCGCAAGUCAUCAGCUUGCGUCGAUUACGUCCCUGCCCUUUGUACACACCGCCCGUCGCUACUACCGAUUGAAUGGUUUAGUGAGGCCUUCUGACUGGCGCCGCUACUCUGGCAACAGAGCGGCGGAUGCCGGGAAGUUGGUCAAACUUGAUCAUUUAGAGGAAGUAAAAGUCGUAACA
rnacentral:rRNA from 1 species